UACAGAGGGGGCAAGCGUUGUUCGGAAUUACUGGGCGUAAAGGGCGCGUAGGCGGCCUUCUAAGUCGAACGUGAAAUCCCCGGGCUCAACCCGGGAACUGCGUCCGAUACUGGAAGGCUUGAAUCCGGGAGAGGGAUGCGGAAUUCCAGGUGUAGCGGUGAAAUGCGUAGAUAUCUGGAGGAACACCGGUGGCGAAGGCGGCAGUCCUGGGACCGGCAUUGACGCUGAGGCGCGAAAGCCAGGGGAGCAAAGCGG
rnacentral:rRNA from 1 species